UUGAACGCUGGCGGCAUGCUUUACACAUGCAAGUCGCACGGCAGCGCGGGCUUCGGCCUUGCGUCGAGUGGCGAACGGGUGAGUAAUGCAUCGUAACGUGCCCAGUUGUUGGGGAUAGCCCGGCGAAAGCCGGAUUAAUACCGCCUACGACCUGUGUGUGAAAGCGGGGGACCGAAAUGCCUCUCGCUAUUUUAGCGUCCGAUGUCGGUUUAGCUAGUUGGUGGGGUAAAGGCUUACCAAGGCGACGAUCCGUAGCUGGUCUGAGAGGACGACCAGCCACACUGGGACUGAGACACGGCACAGACUCCUACGGGAGGCAGCAGUGGGGAAUUUUGGACAAUGGGGGCAACCAUGAUCCAGAAAUGCCGCGUGCGGGAAGAAGGCCUGCGGGUUGUAAACCGCUUUUGUUAGGGAAGAAAUCCUCUGGGAUAAUACCCAGGGGGGAUGACGGUAACGGAAGAAUAAGCACCGGCUAACUACGUG
rnacentral:rRNA from 1 species